UACAGAGGUCUCAAGCGUUGUUCGGAUUCAUUGGGCGUAAAGGGUGCGUAGGUGGCGAGGCAAGUCAGGUGUGAAAUCUCGGGGCUCAACCCCGAAACUGCACUUGAUACUGCCUUGCUAGAGUACUGGAGAGGAGAUUGGAAUUUACGGUGUAGCAGUGAAAUGCGUAGAUAUCGUAAGGAAGACCAGUGGCGAAGGCGAAUCUCUGGACAGUUACUGACACUGAGGCACGAAGGCCAGGGGAGCAAACGGG
rnacentral:rRNA from 1 species